rnacentral:rRNA from 1 species
ACGGGUGAGUAACACGUAGGUAAUCUGCCUCAAGGAGGGGGAUAACGUUGGGAAACUGACGCUAAUACCCCAUAUGUGAAUAGUUGCAAUGCUAUUCAUGAAAGCUCCGGCACCUUGAGAUGAGCCUGCGGCUGAUUAGCUUGUUGGUGGGGUAAAGGCCUACCAAGGCAACGAUCAGUAGCUGGUCUGAGAGGAUGAUCAGCCACAAUGGAACUGAGAAACGGUCCAUACUCCUACGGGAGGCAGCAGUAGGGAAUUUUGCGCAAUGGGCGAAAGCCUGACGCAGCAACACCGCGUGUGGGAUGAAGCUUUUCGGAGUGUAAACCACUGUCAGAGGGGACGAAACCUGACGGUACCCUCAAAGGAAGCAUCGGCUAACUACGUGCCAGCAGCCGCGGUAAGACGUAGGAUGCAAGCGUUGUCCGGAAUUAUUGGGCGUAAAGCGUUCGUAGGCGGCCUGUCAAGUCUGAUGUUAAAUCCCGGAGCUCAACUCUGGUUAAGCAUUGGAUACUGACAAGCUAGAGUGCAGGAGAGGCAAGGGGAAUUCCUAGU